rnacentral:lncRNA from 1 species
UUUUUUUUUUUUUUGUAUUUUGCCCCUCUCCCCUCGUAGGGUAGGUGUAAGACCGGUACAUCUUACACUCACUAGAGUCCAGACCCUGCUCGUAGGAAAUCACUGGAUUGUUGUUGUUGGUUAUAAAUAGCUUGACCAUUGUGCCCCUAGAUCUUUUAGCAGUGUUUUCGUUUUCCUUAUAGUAUAUAAAAUACAGCCCUUUAUUUCGUUUCUCGUUUUCUUCUUACUUCCUUGGUUCUUUUUAAAUGUCAAACCAAUCAGAUCUGCUGUAAUGUCCUAGACCCCUACAAUUUUAAGAAAUGAAUUCUUCAUGAAAUAAUAAUAUUGAAUCAAUCUCUAAAUUAUGUUUCUCUUACCCUUUUCCAGCUGGAUUCUAAAAAAGACCUAAGCGAAAAAUUAACAAAAAUGAAACAUUUUGCGGUUAAAAAAAAAAAAAAAUCACUUCCCAUUAGGGGGUAAUAAAAGGAGAAUCAGGGGCAGGCCAUAUUUUUAGAUGAUUUUAUGCAAAGGGGCAUGAACUCCUUUUAAAGGUGACCCCUUAAGGUUGCAAAAUAAAAUGUCCAAUUCUCCACUCUACUCAUCAAAGUUAUGUGAAACUUAUUUAGUAGCUAUACAAAUUGAGGGUGUUCAAUCUGCAGUAGAUUAGCAGCUUCAUUCAGUUGGUACUAAUAGUAUAUGUGAUCAAAUCCAAAAUUUUCAGAUUACAUGAGCCUGCAACAUUCUUUUUUUUUUUUUUUAAAUUAUAAGAAAGCCUGCAACAUUCCAUUAGAGACAUUGAAGUCCAAACAAUAGCUUAUCCAUAACCAAGAGUAUGAGAAAAUCCAUGGAGUUUGUUCAAAUCAAAUAAUUAGCAUUAACAUAAUCUUCAACCAACAGGCUAAAUGAUUCAACUCUUUACACGAUCCUUCCUCGUCGUAGUUCCAAGAAGAGGAAAGAUAAAACUAGUAGAAAAAUAAAUUGAAAAAAAAAAGAGGAAAAAGAAUUUAUAAUUCUCCCAAAACAUUGUCCUGGUUUUAGGAGUUAGAUUUUCACCUUCUGUUUCACAUCUCUAAGCCCUCCUACUUUUUAGUUUUCUUCGGUAUUUCUUAAUAACAUUUUCAGUGUGACAGUCUCUACAUCUACGCAAGUUUCUAUACCCUCCUCGCCUUUCUCUUCAAUCCUUUCAUGAGGACUAUAAACAACUUCAAUAGCUAGGCAAUGACAGAAUUUUCUCUGCUAUUUUGAGCUACGAGUUUGUAAAAUUAA